GUAUCGCCUGACGUUAUCUUGAACCCAUCGAUCAGCAUUGGCUUGACUAGCUGCAAGGUAUUCGAGUCUCGGAUUCGAAACAUCUAAUAGCAGCUUGAUGUUGGUACCUCCGAGAGCUCGUAGGGCAGCUUCGUCGGGAGCGUAGAGUCGCGAUUGUUGGAUGCCUUUUCUUCUGUAAAUAUCGAUUACUUCGGCUGCUGGCGGCAAGUUAUUUCCCAUCAUUCCAUAACAAACUCCAACUUGGGCAUCUGCAUGAUAUUAAUUCCACAAUGCCUUAAUUUUAAAAUCAAACAUUUUACACUUUGAAUAGCUUCGAAAAUUGGAUUAUUUAGAGAUGAAAUUCAAAACUGAGGAUUUCAAUGUAAAUGUUCAUUUCUUACUCAGGUCAAAUUCAUAAAAAUAUUUGCUUUCUUGUCUAAUGAUUAAUGAUUAGUGAUUAUUAAAAGUUUCGUUAAAUUAAUCUAAUUUCAUAAAUUUUAAAACUAUAUAUAAACUUUGAUUUAGUCUAAUUAUACACACGAAACUUUAAUUAUUAUUCAAACAUAUACACAGAGGCGAUUCUAGGAGGGCUGGCAUGGGCUAAAAUGAAAAUUUGUCAUUUAGGCCUUCUAAAUUUUUUAAAACUUUAAAUCAGUAAAAGUAAAAUUACACUUUAGCCCUCCUAAAAUUAUAAAAUUUUGAUUUAAUCUUUUAAAAAUUAUAAAGAUAUAUAUUAUAAAAAUUAAAAUUUCAUUCGGUCUCCCUAAAAAAUUGUUCUGGCUUCGCCCCUGCUUUUAUUUUGAUUAAAUUAUAUACCUUUCAAGAAAUAAAUACAUUAAAUCAUUUUUAUAUUGGAUAAAUAUAAUAAUUUCUAUAUGCAAUAUAUAAACAAAAAAAUGAUGCUAUAUCAAUUAAUAAUUAGUAAAAAAUAUAUUAAAUCAAAAUAAAAUUUAUCUAUAACUUUGAAAUUUAUCUCUUGAAAUUAAAAGGAUGAAAUUACAUUUUAACUCGUAAAAAUAUAAUUUAAUUCUGCUAAAAGAAAUUUUAGCCUCACUCUAUUUGAAUUCAAAUUUUUGAGAUGACAUUAUUAGGAUAGGCAAUCAUAAGGAGCUAAAAAUUAAUCUUUAUAAACCAUAAAACAAAUAUAGGAAGGAGGAAUUAAGCAAUCAGAAAUACCGAUAAAAAUAUUUUUUUAGUUUUACGUCUGGAUAUAGAGGUAUAAAUAAUUGAUAAAGAAACACAAAAGAGAGUGUAAAGAAUAAAAGAGAGACCUGUGGCUUUGAAGAUAGCCAUUAGCAACGCACAAAGAAGCAGCAGCAUAGUUGAAUGCAUGAUGGCAUUGGCCAUUGGCUAAUAAAAGAUUUUACUAUUCUGGAAGUGCUGCGAUGCCUCUAACGCCAACUCUCACCACCCUUUUAUACAAAAACUAUUGUCUGUGGUUACGUCCUGGAAAAUUAGGGUACAUAAAUUAAAACUCUUACCACCAUUAAUUCAAGCCUAACUUUGCAAUUUGUUUACUGGCAGUUUGCGAGUGCCCUGCCCCCUCCUAUACUUCAAAGAAAAGUCUUUGGGUCAUCAUCUCCAUUUCUUUAUUAUUAUUAAUAAUAUUACUCCGUGAUGGACGCAGAGAGAAAAAUGAGUGAUUGGUAAGUAAACUUAUUAGAGGCUUGUAGUUACGUUGGUCCAUGUUUGAAUGGAAGACAUAAGAAAUACUUGUCGCAUGUAGCUGAAGGGCAUAUUUUUAUUAUAUCAGUCUUUAUCUUCAAAGACCCAUUGAAUAAGGGUGAGUUUGGAUAGACGAUUGGGUGCAGUGCGGUGCGUUUAGUUUACUUUUUGUUUCACACUACAAUAUCGCUAUAGUAUUUAAUCUCCUCGCCAUCACUGUUUUUACACUAACUAUAGACAAACGCACCGCCCAUCCAAACUUACCCUAAGUAAUCGGACGGAAAUCCUUCAGUUUACUAAAAUUACUAUAUAUAUAUUAAUACCAAAGUCUUUUUUACACACAUAAAUUAUGAAUCAAUCAAUUACAAUAGUAUUUGUAAAUGUAUUUUUUUUAAAAUACGGUUUAUAAAAAAAAUAGAAGGUUUAAUUUGGUGCUUGUACUUUAAAAAUAUCCAAUGUGAUACUUAAACUAUAAAUUUAUGUAUUAUUUAAUACUUAUAUUUUCAUAAAAUGUCUAACCUGAUACUUAAACUAUCAUCCUAUAUAUUAUUAUGGUAUUUUUAUAACUAUGAGAAACCCAUUUUAUUUCACUCGCAAAGAGCUGAGCUCUGGAAUUACAAUAAUCAGACCACAUUUAUUGCCUCUACCUUGGCUUUCAUAAGAAAAUGGCCUUACCCCUUUUAAUUGAAACUAAUUGGGUAUUUCUCCUGUUUGUUUGGGAAAAACAGCCCCCAAUGUUUCUCAUAUGCCGGUUCUUUAUUGUUCUCAUCAAACAUCGCAAACAAGUAAACUUCUAUUGCUUUUCCAGGUUUCCUCGGAGUCCCCUUGCGCUGAUUCACAUGUCGAACCAAAUUCGUAUUGUAAGUCCUCGCAUUAUUAACACUCGUAGCCGUUCCACCGGCCGACGGCCACCCACUUUCCGAAACAACAAUGUCCAAACUUCCCCCACCAACCCUCUCCAAGGCAGCGUAAAAUGCAUCCAACAUCGCGUCGAAAAGGUUCUGGUACCGAUAUGGACCAUCUGUCACAACGACAGAUGGUGCCGUAAAGAGAGCAUAGUCUAGACGAACAUCUCUUGGAUUUUCCAUGUGGCUAAAGUAGGGAUAUACAUUAACAAGUAAUGGAGCUCUGUUGUUCCUCAAGAAGGUUAUGACUGGACCGAGAAGUUGUUGGUAAUCGCCACGAAGUUUGCCUUGAGACGGAGGGAAAGAUACUUCCAUAGCACCGAAAAACGUAGCCGUAGAAACUUUGAUUCGGUUCCCUAAGCCUGCUUUAACUAUUGCAUUAUGAACGUUCUGCAUUGCUGGGAAAAGGAACCGAGCAAAUGGAUCCCAUGGCUUUACUUCGUUCCCGACAGCGAUGUAUCGAAAAUUAACGGUGCUGUAUCGCCUGACGUUAUCUUGAACCCAUCGAUCAGCAUUGGCUUGACUAGCUGCAAGGAAUUCGAGUCUAGGAUUCGAAACAUCUAAUAGCAGCCUGAUGUUGGUACCUCCGAGGGCUCGUAGGGCAGCUUCGUUGGGAGCGUAGAGUCGCGAUUGUUGGAUGCCUUUUCUUCUGUAAAUAUCGAUUACUUCGGCUGCUGGCGGCAAGUUAUUU
rnacentral:lncRNA from 1 species